rnacentral:rRNA from 1 species
UUAGGAAUAUUGGACAAUGGGGGAAACCUUGAUCCAGCCAUGCCGCGUGAGUGAAGAAGGCCUUCGGGUUGUAAAGCUCUUUUGUACGGGAAGAUGAUGACGGUACCGUAAGAAUAAGCACCGGCAAACUUCGUGCCAGCAGCCGCGGUAAUACGAAGGGUGCAAGCGUUGUUCGGAAUUACUGGGCGUAAAGGGCGUGUAGGCGGAUAUAUCAGUCAGGAGUGAAAUACCGGGGCUUAACUUCGGAACUGCUUUUGAGACGGUAUAUCUAGAGUGUAUUAGGGGACAAUGGAACACCCAGUGUAGAGGUGAAAUUCGUAGAUAUU